CGCCCACCUGGCCGGACGGCGGGUGGACCGGCUCUCCGGCGGCCAGACACAGCGGGUGCGGUUCGCGGUCGCGGUGGCCGGC
rnacentral:tRNA from 1 species